GACAGAGGGUGCAAACGUUGUUCGGAAUUACUGGGCGUAAAGCGCGCGCAGGCGGCCUUGCAAGUCGGGCGUGAAAUCCCACGGCUCAACCGUGGAAGUGCACUCGAAACUGCGAGGCUAGAGUCUUGGAGAGGAAGGCGGAAUGCUUGGUGUAGAGGUGAAAUUCGUAGAUAUCAAGCGGAACACCGGUGGCGAAGGCGGCCUCUGGACAGCAUCGUGGCACGCAUGACGACGCGAA
rnacentral:rRNA from 1 species